rnacentral:rRNA from 1 species
CCUGAAUAAAAGUAGUUAAGUUCUUCAUAACUCAAAGAAUUUGGCGGUUAAUAAUAGUUUUAGAGGAACCUGUAUAUUAAUUGAUAAACCACGAUAGGCUAAACCUUUAUUUUUGUUUGUAUAUCUCUAUAAAUUAGGAAUGUUUUUAAAGGAUAAAUUUUCUUUAUAGAAUUUUUCUUUUAUAUUAGGUCAAGGUGCAGCUUUAUUAAGGUUUAUAUGGGUUACUUAAAUUUUAUAUUUGUUUUUAAUUAAUUUGUUUUUAUAAUUUUAAUAAUAGGAUUUAAAAGUAAUUUAAAUUAAUUAAUUUAUUUGAAUAUU